UACGUAGGGUGCAAGCGUUAAUCGGAAUUACUGGGCGUAAAGCGUGCGCAGGCGGUUAUGCAAGACCGAUGUGAAAUCCCCGGGCUCAACCUGGGAACUGCAUUUGUGACUGCAUAGCUAGAGUACGGUAGAGGGGGAUGGAAUUCCGCGUGUAGCAGUGAAAUGCGUAGAUAUGCGGAGGAACACCGAUGGCGAAGGCAAUCCCCUGGACCUGUACUGACGCUCAUGCACGAAAGCGUGGGGAGCAAACAGG
rnacentral:rRNA from 1 species